AAUUGAAGAGUUUGAUCAUGGCUCAGAUUGAACGCUGGCGGCAGGCCUAACACAUGCAAGUCGAACGGUAGCACAGAGAGCUUGCUCUCGGGUGACGAGUGGCGGACGGGUGAGUAAUGUCUGGGAAACUGCCCGAUGGAGGGGGAUAACUACUGGAAACGGUAGCUAAUACCGCAUAACGUCGCAAGACCAAAGUGGGGGACCUUCGGGCCUCACACCAUCGGAUGUGCCCAGAUGGGAUUAGCUAGUAGGUGGGGUAACGGCUCACCUAGGCGACGAUCCCUAGCUGGUCUGAGAGGAUGACCAGCCACACUGGAACUGAGACACGGUCCAGACUCCUACGGGAGGCAGCAGUGGGGAAUAUUGCACAAUGGGCGCAAGCCUGAUGCAGCCAUGCCGCGUGUAUGAAGAAGGCCUUCGGGUUGUAAAGUACUUUCAGCGAGGAGGAAGGCGUUGUGGUUAAUAACCACAGCGAUUGACGUUACUCGCAGAAGAAGCACCGGCUAACUCCGUGCCAGCAGCCGCGGUAAUACGGAGGGUGCAAGCGUUAAUCGGAAUUACUGGGCGUAAAGCGCACGCAGGCGGUUUGUUAAGUCAGAUGUGAAAUCCCCGGGCUCAACCUGGGAACUGCAUUUGAAACUGGCAAGCUUGAGUCU
rnacentral:rRNA from 1 species